rnacentral:rRNA from 1 species
AACGAACGCUGGCGGCAUGCCUAACACAUGCAAGUCGAACGAGACCUUCGGGUCUAGUGGCGCACGGGUGCGUAACGCGUGGGAACCUGCCCUUAGGUUCGGAAUAACUCCCCGAAAGGGGUGCUAAUACCGGAUAAUGUCUUCGGACCAAAGAUUUAUCGCCUUUGGAUGGGCCCGCGUUGGAUUAGCUAGUUGGUAGGGUAAAAGCCUACCAAGGCGACGAUCCAUAGCUGGUCUGAGAGGAUGAUCAGCCACACUGGGACUGAGACACGGCCCAGACUCCUACGGGAGGCAGCAAUGGGGAAUAUUGGACAAUGGGCGAAAGCCUGAUCCAGCAAUGCCGCGUGAGUGAUGAAGGCCUUAGGGUUGUAAAGCUCUUUUAACCGGGAUGAUAAUGACAGUACCGGGAGAAUAAGCUCCGGCUAACUCCGUG